AUUGAACGCUGGCGGCAGGCCUAACACAUGCAAGUCGAGCGGCAGAACGGAGCUUGCUCCUGGAUUCAGCGGCGGACGGGUGAGUAAUGCCUAGGAAUCUGCCUGGUAGUGGGGGAUAACGUCCGGAAACGGGCGCUAAUACCGCAUACGUCCUGAGGGUGAAAGUGGGGGAUCUUCGGACCUCACGCUAUCAGAUGAGCCUAGGUCGGAUUAGCUAGUUGGUGGGGUAAAGGCCUACCAAGGCGACGAUCCGUAGCUGGUCUGAGAGGAUGAUCAGCCACACUGGAACUGAGACACGGUCCAGACUCCUACGGGAGGCAGCAGUGGGGAAUAUUGGACAAUGGGCGCAAGCCUGAUCCAGCCAUGCCGCGUGUGUGAAGAAGGUCUUCGGAUUGUAAAGCACUUUUGUUUGGGAGGAAGGGCAGUAAGUUAAUACCUUGCUGUUUUGACGUUACCCACAGAAUAAGCACCGGCUAACUUCGUG
rnacentral:rRNA from 1 species